AUAAUAAGUGUAACGACAGGUAUAACGAUAAAAUGUAUAAUAUAAUAUAUGUAAAUGUAAAAUAUAAUACAGUUUAAAAGUAAGAAUAACAACGAGAUGACAAUAACAGUGAGUAAAACAAGAAUGAAAAAUGGUUGCAUACACAAUAGCGAUGGCAGAGCGUUUGAGCGGAGCAAAGGAAGUACAGGAAAAGUCGAGGAAAUGGCAUAAUAAUGAUAGACGAUUCGUUGCAACGCAUUCGAUGAAAUACAUAAUUAUUCAAAUGAUAAGAUCUUUAUCAACGCGGUUGUUAUAUCGACAUUGGACAAAUUUUGUAAAUUUUCUGCGAAAUGCAAUAGGAGCCGAAGGUUUACUAUUUCGGAACGACCUCCGAAAUCACAACAGCCGAUCGCGGUGCCCGCGAUGUACGUGUGCGUGCAUACGUGAGGUGACGUGACAUAUGUAUAAAAACAUCGCUAUAACAUUGCUAGGACGAGCGGCGGGCGUUUCGUUUAGACGCCGGUCGAACGAAACGGUCAAAUUCGUAAGAAGUCUCGUGACAUUCGGCCAGGAAAAAAGGACGCGCUCGCACAGGGCACGAAGCGGAACAUGACGAACGUCUUUUACUGUCUUUUUGUAUUGUAUUUUGCGCGCGUCAUUGUUUAGGAAGAAAUAGAACAGUUUCGAAAA